rnacentral:tRNA from 1 species
GGGCCGUUAGCUCAGGCUGGUCAGAGCACCUGCCUUUUAAGCAGGGUGUCGCUGGUUCAAAUCCAGCACGGCUCACCU